AGUUUGAUCCUGGCUCAGAACGAACGCUGGCGGCAGGCUUAACACAUGCAAGUCGAACGCCCCGCAAGGGGAGUAGCAGACGGGUGAGUAACGCGUGGGAAUCUACCCUGAACUGCGGGAUAGCUCCGGGAAACUGGAAUUAAUACCGCAUGUGCCCUGAGGGGCAAAGAUUUAUCGGUUCAGGAUGAGCCCGCGUCCGAUUAGCUAGUUGGUGGGGUAAAGGCCUACCAAGGCGACGAUCGGUAGCUGGUCUAAGAGGAUGAUCAGCCACAUUGGGACUGAGACACGGCCCAAACUCCUACGGGAGGCAGCAGUGGGGAAUAUUGGACAAUGGGCGCAAGCCUGAUCCAGCCAUGCCGCGUGAGUGAUGAAGGCCCUAGGGUUGUAAAGCUCUUUCACCGGGGACGAUAAUGACGGUACCCGGAGAAGAAGCCCCGGCUAACUUCGUGCCAGCAGCCGCGGUAA
rnacentral:rRNA from 1 species